rnacentral:rRNA from 1 species
GAUGAACGCUGGCGGCGUGCCUAAUACAUGCAAGUCGAGCGAACGGACGAGAAGCUUGCUUCUCUGAUGUUAGCGGCGGACGGGUGAGUAACACGUGGAUAACCUACCUAUAAGACUGGGAUAACUUCGGGAAACCGGAGCUAAUACCGGAUAAUAUUUUGAACCGCAUGGUUCAAAAGUGAAAGACGGUCUUGCUGUCACUUAUAGAUGGAUCCGCGCUGCAUUAGCUAGUUGGUAAGGUAACGGCUUACCAAGGCAACGAUGCAUAGCCGACCUGAGAGGGUGAUCGGCCACACUGGAACUGAGACACGGUCCAGACUCCUACGGGAGGCAGCAGUAGGGAAUCUUCCGCAAUGGGCGAAAGCCUGACGGAGCAACGCCGCGCGAGUGAUGAAGGUCUUCGGAUCGUAAAACUCUGUUAUUAUGGAAGAACAUAUGUGUAAGUAACUGUGCACAUCUUGACGGUACCUAAUCAGAAAGCCACGGCUAACUACGUG